UCCCCGUGGCAAUGGGCAAAGAGGCACCCUGUUGGUGGUGUUGUCCUUAUGUCAGUCAGGGGCAGAGCAGAUGUCAGUCCUUUGUUCAUUCUAGCUUGAAGCCUGGCUUGGUAGCCAAAGCUGUCUUAGGCCUAAGGACUCAUAA